rnacentral:rRNA from 1 species
AACGAACGCUGGCGGCGUGCUUAACACAUGCAAGUGGAGCGACGAACCAGGCUUCGGCCUGGGGCAGAGCCGCGAACGGGUGAGUAACACGUGGGUAACCUGCCUCGAUGACCGGGACAACCCGGGGAAACCCGGGCUAAUACCGGAUGUGCUCUCCUCACAUCAGUGGGGAAUGGAAAGGAAGCUUCGGCCUCCGCAUCGAGAUGGGCCCGCGGCCCAUUAGCUUGUUGGUGAGGAACGGCUCACCAAGGCUGCGAUGGGUAGCUGGUCUGAGAGGACGAUCAGCCACACUGGGACUGAGACACGGCCCAGACUCCUACGGGAGGCAGCAGCAGGGAAUCUUGCGCAAUGGGCGAAAGCCUGACGCAGCAACGCCGCG